rnacentral:misc_RNA from 1 species
CCACCUCGCUCCUCGCAGAAAGGAAUCGAAAAGGAGCAAGAACAAUUGUUUCCUCUCAUGGCACAACUCAUGAGAAGCUGCAUCACAGAAUUUAUAGCCGCUCCUCUCUUGGUUCUUUUGAUCUUGGCUUCAACGUCUCCGUCCUUUCAAGUGCAUGUGAAGGGCGACGAUGGCCGUCAACAUGGAUCGCCGGCGCUUCGGCAGCGACUGGCGGCGGCGACGUGCUUCGAGACCACUGCCGGCUUCUGUUGGGUGAAGCAAUGCCAGAGUUUCUGCGCAUCAAAAGGCUUCAACGCCGCGAGUGCUUUCUGCUAUAAACGGCCUGGUUCUGGCCGUCUUCAUCUCUGGCAGUGCUGCUGCCAACCAUAAGAGUACGUAGUGCAAAACGUACGCAAAUGUAUG